UCUAGGUUACCCACACCUAUACGAAGUCGAUUUUGGGUGCCUAGGUGUGAGAUCGACGCCAAACUUAAGAGCGCGGUUGUGUGUGUGAACGAGGUCGACCGCGGUGAUGAUGUGAAGAGGGCUUGACCGAGGAAGGAUCACUAGCUUAGUUAGUGAGGAUAGG